GAUCCUGGCUCAGGAUGAACGCUAGCGGCAGGCUUAACACAUGCAAGUCGAGGGGCAGCGCGGAGUUAGCAAUACUCUGGCGGCGACCGGCGGAAGGGUGCGUAACACGUGAGCGACUUGCCCGUCACAGGGAGAUAACCGCUGGGAAACGGCGACUAAUAUCCCAUAUGAUGGCGAUCUGCAUGGAUUGUCAUUGAAAGAUUCAUCGGUGACGGAUAGGCUCGG
rnacentral:rRNA from 1 species